rnacentral:rRNA from 1 species
GUAACACGUAUCCAACCUGCGAUGACUCGGGGAUAGCCUUUCGAAAGAAAGAUUAAUACCCGAUGGCAUAGUUCUUCCGCAUGGUAGAACUAUUAAAGGAUUUCGGUCAUCGAUGGGGAUGCGUUCCAUUAGGUUGUUGGCGGGGUAACGGCCCACCAAGCCUUCGAUGGAUAGGGGUUCUGAGAGGAAGGUCCCCCACAUUGGAACUGAGACACGGUCCAAACUCCUACGGGAGGCAGCAGUGAGGAAUAUUGGUCAAUGGACGAGAGUCUGAACCAGCCAAGUAGCGUGAAGGAUGACUGCCCUAUGGGUUGUAAACUUCUUUUAUACGGGAAUAAAGUGAGGCACGUGUGCCUUUUUGUAUGUACCGUAUGAAUAAGGAUCGGCUAACUCCGUG